UGAGGGUGUAUUUUCUAUUGUGUGGGGCUUUUGUCGAAAUUAGGAUUCCGAAACGCGUUUUUCUACGGUGGGUUCAUUCGACAGCGAUUUACUUUCUUAGAUGUUGCGAGACGGUAUGUUUUUGAUUGCAAUUAUUGGAAGAUGACAGAUCCAUCUUUAAAAUGAUACCAGGUUCGGAAAAAUUGAUACGUCGGAAAGGCAAGAAAAAUGCUGUGAAAGUUGUCAGUUUUAUAAUGGGACCCUAUGGGAAUCGGAAUUAGUGUAAUAUAACCUUUAAAAAGCGCAUUUACUGCAAUGUCAAGGUCACAUGGAUUCGUCUGCAAGCGAGACAAGUAGAAAAUGAAUUUUAAUGAAUGUUUUGAUGAUUUGGGUGCUAAAAUAGAUGAGAGAUGUCAAUAUUUUGGUCCAAAUGGGUGUUUUAGGUGGUUUUGGACUGUUCCGGAUGGGUGGGGGACCUGGUAUGGACAAGUAAGGGUAACAUUUCCAACAAAUCUUAAAUGUAAAUAUUAUUAUGUCCCUAGAUUGAAGUUUCAGGUGGAGAGCAAGAUGAAAAAUAUGCCAAAUUACAUGCAUGCAGCCCAUUUAUGCCAUUUUUCUCUUUGUUUGUAGGCCUGACCGUUUGUCCUUGAGCCGUCGAUGGUCAACAAUCCGCUAGCUGUCUUGCUCUGACUGGUGCACUGGACAUGAUUUCAAUAGUUAGCCAGACCAUGAUUGAGCUUAAGGAUUGUGCUGCGGAUGCAGCCUGUGCAGUUCCGGGAGAAAGUCACUGUCUUGGGCAAUGCGGUCUGGUAUCAGGUCUGGAUGAUCCUUGCCUGACUGCGGGUUUGUGUACACCUCAAUCCGACUCUGUGUCCUGAACAGAGGCCGCAGUGGUGCAGCGCUUGUGGACGUUCCAUCAACAUCCUGAAAGGUCAACACUACACCCAGCUGGGAAAAUUGAUCCUGAUAGUCAUCCCCAGGUAGUGGAAUGAAUGUACACUGAACUACAGAGGAAUCACACCCAAAUGACUUUCCUGCCACGACAUUAGUGUGGCCACUCGCGUAGGAAUUCCUUAGCAAACGUGCUCUUUUGCAUGGUGACUGUGGGCAUUUUUGCAAAACUUACGCUUCCAACACUGGAUUUUAAAGAGAAUACUUAAUAAAAUGUCGCUAACAGGACUUAUUUAUAUGAGAGAGACUAUCUGGAUGCGCAUUAAGUGUCACUUUGUGUCGUUAGCUGUUGAAGGAGCGCUUUGCGCCUUUUUAAGUGUUAAUUUUGGGUAGCCGGCUUGUAUCGGCUUGAAAGCUGCAAAUUAUGCCUCUCAUCAUAAUAGCAUUAAUUUUUGUAAUUGCAAUGUGUAUGUUUAGAUUGUAAGUGAAGCUUUUAAUAAUAAUUUUCUUAAAAAACAUGAUUUUAUAUGCUGUCAGUGAGUUUUUUAUUGAAAAAAAUGCUUAAAAUUAAAAAAAAGUCUCCUAUUUCAUCAAGAAAAGUACACUGAUUCACAAUCAAUACAUUUAUUUGGGCCUUUUGCUGAUAUAUUGGUGAAUUUCGCAUGCAAUGAUACCAGUUUUUGCCAUAAAAGUUACGCGUAACAAUAAUUGGAGACACAAAAUCAGCUGUCGUCACUUAGACUAAAAAUCAUGCAUUCCGACUUGACUGCGGUCAAUUUAGUCACCGCUUUAAAUGGCCAUUUUAAGGCCUUUACCCCCAUCCGAAUGCACUGAAAUUGCAUAUUCAUUGUGGAAAUAGUUGAAAUCUCAUGUGGAGAAAGUUUGAAAAAGAUGGGACAAAGUUGAGUUCCCUUAAAGGUUACAUUACACUAAAUCAUUGUGUAUCCCUCCGUGGUCCGUUCGAAAGUAGUGCCUAUUUCUAAAGAGUUCCUUUUCUCUUCUUGAAUAUAAGCCAUUUAACAAUGCGAGACAUGUCUUUUGUGGUUAUUUGUAAUAUCCUGUAUGUGUCUGGAGUACUUUGAUGCCUUGGAUUGGAAGCUAACUUAAAAGAUGAACUUUUGAGGGUGUGUUUUCUAUUGUGUGGGGCUUUUGUCGAAAUUAGGAUUCCGAAACGCGUUUUUCUACGGUGGGUUCAUUCGACAGCGAUUUACUUUCUUAGAAGUUGCGAGACGGUAUGUUUUUGAUUGCAAUUAUUGGAAGAUGACAGAUCCAUCUUUAAAAAGAUACCAGGUUCGGAAAAAUUGAUACGUCGGAAAGGCAAGAAAAAUGCUGUGAAAGUUGUCAGUUUUAUAAUGGGACCCUAUGGGAAUCGGAAUUAGUGUAAUAUAACCUACAGAUGUAUCGAC